rnacentral:rRNA from 1 species
GACGUAGGGGGCAAGCGUUGUCCGGAAUCAUUGGGCGUAAAGAGCGUGUAGGCGGUUCGGUAAGUCGGCUGUGAAAGUCCAGGGCUCAACCCUGGGAUGCCGGUCGAUACUGCCGGACUAGAGUUCGGAAGAGGCGAGUGGAAUUCCCGGUGUAGCGGUGAAAUGCGCAGAUAUCGGGAGGAACACCUAUGGCGAAGGCAGCUCGCUGGGACGUUACUGACGCUGAGACGCGAAAGCGUGGGGAGCGAACAGG